rnacentral:rRNA from 1 species
GAUGAACGCUGGCGGCGUGCCUAAUACAUGCAAGUCGAGCGAACAGAUGAGAAGCUUGCUUCUCUGAUGUUAGCGGCGGACGGGUGAGUAACACGUGGGUAACCUACCUAUAAGACUGGGAUAACUCCGGGAAACCGGGGCUAAUACCGGAUAAUAUUUUGAACCGCAUGGUUCAAUAGUGAAAGACGGUUUCGGCUGUCACUUAUAGAUGGACCCGCGCCGUAUUAGCUAGUUGGUAAGGUAACGGCUUACCAAGGCGACGAUACGUAGCCGACCUGAGAGGGUGAUCGGCCACACUGGAACUGAGACACGGUCCAGACUCCUACGGGAGGCAGCAGUAGGGAAUCUUCCGCAAUGGGCGAAAGCCUGACGGAGCAACGCCGCGUGAGUGAUGAAGGUCUUCGGAUCGUAAAACUCUGUUGUUAGGGAAGAACAAAUUUGUUAGUAACUGAACAAGUCUUGACGGUACCUAACCAGAAAGCCACGGCUAACUACGUGCCAGCAGCCGCGGUAAUACGUAGGUGGCAAGCGUUAUCCGGAAUUAUUGGGCGUAAAGCGCGCGUAGGCGGUUUCUUAAGUCUGAUGUGAAAGCCCACGGCUCAACCGUGGAGGGUCAUUGGAAACUGGGAAACUUGAGUGCAGAAGAGGAGAGUGGAAUUCCAUGUGUAGCGGUGAAAUGCGCAGAGAUAUGGAGGAACACCAGUGGCGAAGGCGGCUCUCUGGUCUGUAACUGACGCUGAUGUGCGAAAGCGUGGGGAUCAAACAGGAUUAGAUACCCUGGUAGUCCACGCCGUAAACGAUGAGUGCUAAGUGUUAGGGGGUUUCCGCCCCUUAGUGCUGCAGCUAACGCAUUAAGCACUCCGCCUGGGGAGUACGACCGCAAGGUUGAAACUCAAAGGAAUUGACGGGGACCCGCACAAGCGGUGGAGCACGUGGUUUAAUUCGAAGCAACGCGAAGAACCUUACCAAAUCUUGACAUCCUUUGACCGCUCUAGAGAUAGAGUCUUCCCCUUCGGGGGACAAAGUGACAGGUGGUGCAUGGUUGUCGUCAGCUCGUGUCGUGAGAUGUUGGGUUAAGUCCCGCAACGAGCGCAACCCUUAAGCUUAGUUGCCAUCAUUAAGUUGGGCACUCUAGGUUGACUGCCGGUGACAAACCGGAGGAAGGUGGGGAUGACGUCAAAUCAUCAUGCCCCUUAUGAUUUGGGCUACACACGUGCUACAAUGGAUAAUACAAAGGGCAGCGAAUCCGCGAGGCCAAGCAAAUCCCAUAAAAUUAUUCUCAGUUCGGAUUGUAGUCUGCAACUCGACUACAUGAAGCUGGAAUCGCUAGUAAUCGUAGAUCAGCAUGCUACGGUGAAUACGUUCCCGGGUCU